CGAAUAAUAUCCGAGGAAGUAUCGUACAGCGUCACAAUUGCAUCAAUACUCGUAUCGCGAUAUUAGAGCUUCGAGCUUCGUGCUAUCUCGAGCGAAGGAGAACACCGUUUAGGGCAGUAGUACAGUGUUUAGGUUUAUCCGUGGAAGUAACAGUUUGACAGUGUGUGGCAAGUAUUGAAGUAAGUAAGUAACAGUUGGCAAAAUCCGACGCCGGUCCGAGGCGGAGCCGCCUCUACGCCAGGCUCAGUGACCGUCAGAAGUGAAUGUCACUUAUGUGGAGGGCAGUAACUCACGGCACAAUUCAGACUACCCUCCAUCCGAUUGCCAUGAGUCACAAGACGGCCAAGCCCUGAGCGGCAGCAUGUCUGCCACCUGAGCAGCGUCACCGUUGUGGAACCUGUCCAAAGCGCCCUACUAUGGCUGAACGCCAGCAAUUCAAGUUUCACUGCCAAGUUUGCCACAACCGACAGUCCGGAGGCGGCAAGAUCUGGAUCGCCACUUGGAGCAUUGCCUUCCUCCCCCCUAACCUCUCUGACAGUACCUCCCCUCUGGGAGCGGCGUGGCCAAUUCUGGCAGCUGUCAAUAUUGAGUAGUAGUACUUGCAAGUAGUAGUAGUUGUAGUAGUAGUAGUUUUUUUUUUUAGUUUUAGUUUUUUUGUUUUGUUUUGUUUUUCUAUUACGAAUACCCUCUUCAGUGUAAUGCCUGUUUCGUGCUUUGGAGUUGGAGUUACAAUUGUGUUCUUUUCUUGUUUUCUCGCUAAUAGUAGUAAUGCACCAUAUUUUUGAAAUAUCUGGUUAGCCUGAUUCUCGAGAAGAAUAUCGAUCUAUCGUACUCUGUUGUGAUGAGUCAUUUGCGCUGCCGUUUAUCGUUUUGUCUCCUUCGUUGGUGUAUCACUUGUUUGCGUGGCUGUAGAGCAUCCUAUCGUACUAAGCGCUCUGCAAAUUUUGUUCAUGAAUGUUGUGUACUGUCGCGUGUUUAAAUGACUUGCUCAGUUUUUGUUUUGUUUUGUUUUUCUAUUACGAAUGCCCUCUUCAGUGUAAUCCCUGUUUCGUGCUUUGGAGUUGGAGUUACAAUUGUGUUCUUUUCUUGUUUUCUCGCUACCUUCUCUGAUUAUUGAUUUUGAAUUGCCUUCAUCAUUGUUUUGCUUUGAAUCUCUUUUUCGUUUUUGUUCUUUUUCCAUAUUUAUAA